rnacentral:rRNA from 1 species
GACGAACGCUGGCGGCGUGCCUAAUACAUGCAAGUAGAACGCACAGUUUAUACCGUAGCUUGCUACACCAUAGACUGUGAGUUGCGAACGGGUGAGUAACGCGUAGGUAACCUGCCUGGUAGCGGGGGAUAACUAUUGGAAACGAUAGCUAAUACCGCAUAAUAUUGAUUAUUUCAUGAUAAUUAAUUGAAAGGUGCAAUUGCACCACUACCAGAUGGACCUGCGUUGUAUUAGCUAGUAGGUGAGGUAACGGCUCACCUAGGCGACGAUACAUAGCCGAACUGCGAGGGUGAUCGGCCACACUGGGACAGAGACACGGCACAGACUCCUACGAGAGGCAGCAGUAGGGAAUUUUCGGCGAUGGACGCAAGGCUGACCGAGAAACGCAGCGUGAGUGAAGAAGGUUUUCGGAUCGUAAAGCUCUGUUGUAAGAGAAGAACGGGUGUGAGAGUGGAAAGUUCACACUGUGACGGUAUCUUACCAGAAAGGGACGGCUAACUACGUG